AUAGAAGAGGAGGCAGCAGCAGACGAGGAUGUCACCACAUUUUCGGAAGGUGGGAAGCAGAGGAAGGAGUGGAGUGAGUUUCACUCUCAGAGGAGGAUUUUGUUCUUCAAUUGUGGAGUGAUCUCUAUCACCAGUGACUAAAGAUGUUGGAGCACAGAAAGCCAUACCGCAAAAUAUGAUGCUUCGGCAUGCUGAGUGCUUUGAAAAUUGAAAGGCCUCGGAAAUAAGCCUCAGUCUAGGGUCUCCCUCUGACCUCCCCCUACCUCCCUUUCUCUCUGAUCCCGUCUCUCCCAAAGCACAGAAUGAAGCUGUUCUCUGAAGUUCCCUUAUCUACCUAGAAACUGGACCCCCAAAGAGGAACACAAUUGCCUUUUAUCCCUUCCCUGAAAUUUCAUUAACCAGAGAAAAUUAAUACUUCUAUCACAGAGGAAGAGACUGAACAUUAAACACCAUAGCUACAGCCCAGACAAACUUCUUCCCAAACCAUUGUU